rnacentral:rRNA from 1 species
CGCGUAGGAAACUACCCAGUAGUGGGGACAACAGUUGGAAACGACUGCUAAUACCGCAUACGCUCUACGGAGGAAAGGGGGCUUCGGCUCUCGCUAUUGGAUGUGCCUGCGUGAGAUUAGCUAGUUGGUGGGGUAAAGGCCUACCAAGGCAACGAUCUCUAGCUGGUCUGAGAGGAUGAUCAGCCACACUGGGACUGAGACACGGCCCAGACUCCUACGGGAGGCAGCAGUGGGGAAUAUUGGACAAUGGGCGCAAGCCUGAUCCAGCCAUGCCGCGUGUGUGAAGAAGGCCUCGGUUGU